CUCCGCCCCAUCCCUGGCUGAAGUCUCCAGAGCGAGAGCCGCUCGCUUCCUUUCACGAGAGGCAGCCAACGUAAUACUGUGGGGCUACUGUUCCCCAAGACACAAUGGGGGCCUUGUGUUGGGUGUGGCCUUUUGGAGGAGAGGUGAGGAAUACGCGCUGCUCCACAAGCCCAUAGGCUUCCUGCCUGAGCGUCCCAAGACAGGUGCGACUUCAGGGCAGGGCAGGGCCUGAAGAAAAAAGGCUGCCAUAUGCACCCCAGAUCCAGCAUGUCCUAGAGGGCUCUGCAUAUUUCAGCAUGUGAGCAGCAGGCAUAGCAUUUGGAAUGAGGGUGGAAAUAACAGCAACAUUGUUAACGCCAUGGGAGGUGCUCUAUUAAGUCAACCCUCUCUCAUCAACCUGCGGACAGCACUGUUGAACUGUUGGAAGAGAAGCUUUUCCUUAACACCGUGUUAGCUGCUCAUUUGCUACCUUCACUUAGCUCUAACUGAAAUGGAAGAUAGAGAAACAAAGCACCCAAUAUCAGGACUCUUCUAUCUCUGUACUGGUGGACUAAUCAUGCAUUUACUUGACAACCCAGAAGUACUCAAUUAUAGCAGCUCACACAGAUGCCACAGACGUCACCUGCUUGCAAGGUCUGACAAACACAAGUAUUGACCCCUCACCACGUCAUAAAAAUCAAAUAUGAUUUGAAAGCAUAACAUGUGAUGGCAGUUAAGACCAUGGAAAUCCAUUGGGUGUUUUGAGUCCAGAUGUUCACCUGGAAAUGAGCCAAUUGACCAGGAGAUAGGUGCCUGGCCGUAAAAGUGCUUACAAUAUUGUACUUUUCCUUCAGGGCAAGAAAAGGCAGGGGAAAGGCUGCUUAAUUUCCUGGGAGGCAUCAAUCUGUGCCAAUCCAAAUAUAAAAGCAAAACAGCGAACGGCCCUUGAGAACAAGAAUGGGACUUCUAGGAGAAGCAUGGCUUCAAACGGGCCAGGGGAAGGUCUCAGAAGGAAGUAACAGGGAACGAACAGAGAUAAUUUGGUUCCAACGAAGAGAUAAGUCUACUUGCAGCUACAAAACGGAAAUACUAUCUGUCUUUCAAGGAUCUUUUGAAGUUCCACUUCUUCAGGAAUGGCAUCUGUGACCUUCAAGGUUCUCUCUCCUUUAAAUACCCACAGGGCUAAUCUUCAGUCAUUUGGUACACCCUCUGGUAGUAUCAAUAAUUGACUUUCAAUAUCUUAUAUCCCCAGCUGGUUUGAAAAGGGUAGGCUAAGUCUGGAUCAUUCUUUCCUCGUAAAAAAUGCCUCUGAUCUGUUGCACUGUGCCUAGGCCAGAAUAGGCUUAUCAAAUAUCUAAAGCAGCACUGUUGAAUAGAAAUAGGAAGUGAGCCACAGUUGUCAUUUAAAAACUUCUAGCAGUCUCUCUGGAAAGAAGUGAGAAGAAAUGGGUGCAAAUAAUUCUAGUGAUACAUAUUGCUUAGCGCAAUAUAUCCUAAACAUUAUUUCAACAUGUAGUCAAUAUGAAAAAAAUUAUUGAGACAUUUUUACAUCAUUUUCAUUGUACUAAGUCUUUGAAGUUCAGUGUAUAUUUUAC